rnacentral:rRNA from 1 species
GAUGAACGCUGGCGGCGUGCCUAAUACAUGCAAGUCGAGCGAACAGACGAGGAGCUUGCUCCUCUGACGUUAGCGGCGGACGGGUGAGUAACACGUGGAUAACCUACCUAUAAGACUGGGAUAACUUCGGGAAACCGGAGCUAAUACCGGAUAAUAUAUUGAACCGCAUGGUUCAAUAGUGAAAGACGGUUUUGCUGUCACUUAUAGAUGGAUCCGGGCCGCGUUAGCUAGUUGGUAAGGUAACGGCUUACCAAGGCAACGAUGCGUAGCCGACCUGAGAGAGGGGUAGCCCCCACGGGAGGUGAGACAGGGUCCAGAGUCCUCGGGGGGGCGCAAGAGGGGAAUCUGCCGCAAUGGGGGAGAACCUGACGGAGCGACGCAGCGUGUGUGUUAAGGGUCUCCGGAGCGUAAAACUCUGUUAUGGGGGAAAAACAAAUUUGUAAGUAACUAUGCACGUCUUGACGGUACCUAAUCAGAAAGCCACGGCUAACUACGUG